CAUGAUUUGCCAAUAAGCUUAUAUAUGAAUUAUUAAUGAGUGUUUGAAUUAUGAUAUACAUAUAAGCAUUGAGCGGUGAGUUGAAUCAUAGACAAUCUAGAAGAAACUGAAUGUCUUCUGGAUUGUCCAUGCCGCCUAUAUGAUUUAAUGUGUCGGUUUUUAUGAGAUGAGUACUGUAUCGACUAUCGUACUUAUCAUCCAGGAUGCAUGCGUAUAAAUUAAAUGUUUUGUCUGUUGACUACACACGUCAAAAUCUCACAACUUGUCAACAAGAUGUGUUCGCAACAGGCUUGUAGCAAGCUUGUGCUGCUUGUCAACAAGUUGUAACAAUUUUAUACAACAUUGCCCCUCACAACUUGUUGACUCAAACUGUUGAAUUGCAGGAUCUGCCAGGAUGAUAACAAGUUGUUGGAACAACUUGUAACACGUCUGUUCAGCUCAACAACCUUGUAGUAAGUUGUCAACAAGUCAUUAACUUGUCAACAAGCAGUGCGAACACAUACAAGUCUGCAGCAGGGUUGUUACAACUACUGAGUUUUUACGUGUGUAGCUAAAGAUAAGCCGCUUUGACUGAGAAAGUCAAACAAAACGUUUAUG